UGCAGAGUGGCGCAGCAGAAGCAUGCUGGGCUCAUAACUCAGAGGUGGAUGGAUUGUAACCAUUCUCUGCUA
rnacentral:tRNA from 1 species